UAUCACAUAUAUCCCCGGUCCUAUUC
rnacentral:sRNA from 1 species